GAGGAAAGAGGGGGGCGUGCUUAACACAUGCAAGUCGAACGGAAAGGCCCUGCUUUUGUGGGGUGCUCGAGUGGCGAACGGGUGAGUAACACGUGAGUAACCUGCCCUUGACUUUGGGAUAACUUCAGGAAACUGGGGCUAAUACCGGAUAGGAGCUCCUGCUGCAUGGUGGGGGUUGGAAAGUUUCGGCGGUUGGGGAUGGACUCGCGGCUUAUCAGCUUGUUGGUGGGGUAGUGGCUUACCAAGGCUUUGACGGGUAGCCGGCCUGAGAGGGUGACCGGCCACAUUGGGCCUGAGAUACGGCCCAGACUCCUACGGGAGGCAGCAGUGGGGAAUAUUGCACAAUGGGCGGAAGCCUGAUGCAGCAACGCCGCGUGCGGGAUGACGGCCUUCGGGUUGUAAACCGCUUUCGCCUGUGACGAAGCGUGAGUGACGGUAAUGGGUAAAGAAGCACCGGCUAACUACGUG
rnacentral:rRNA from 1 species